rnacentral:rRNA from 1 species
CAGGCCCUAAAAGCGGCGGACUGGUGAGUAACGCGUGGGUGACCUACCCUCAGGCCGGGGAUAGCCGUUAGAACAUAGCGGGUAAUACCGAAUACGCUUGUAUAGCUGAGGUUAUGCAAGGAAAGAGGCUACGGCCCGCCCCCGGACGGGCCCGCGUCCCAUUAGCUGGUUGGGGGUGUAAAGGACCACCGAGGCGAAGAUGGGUAGCCGGCCUGAGAGGGCGAACGGCACACUGGGACUGAGAUACGGCCCAGACUCCUACGGGAGGCAGCAGCUAAGAAUAUUCCGCAAUGGACGAAAGUCUGACGGAGCGACGCCGCGUGGAUGAGGAAGGCCGGAAGGUUGUAAAAUCCUUUAUGCGGGCGAAGAAGAAGGCGAGGAGGGAAUGCCUUGCCGGUGACGCCGGCCCGCAGAAUAAGCCCCGGCUAAUUAC